GGGGUAUCAUCUUGUUCCCUGGGAUAAUUGCCCUCAUAACCUGGGGUGUAAAGGGGUGAAACCCCUCGGCUUGAUCAUUAAGUACAUGAUUCCUCUCUCCCAAUUCGUUUUGCCUCUCUCCAUCAUUAUGAAUUACUUCAUCAAAAUUGUCCGGGUCUCCACGUCUCCCUCGUCCUCUACCUCGACCUCUACCCCUCUCCCCUCGGCCUCUUCCCCUACCGUUUGCUCUUCCCCCUCUCACACCAAUCGCUG
rnacentral:lncRNA from 1 species